rnacentral:rRNA from 1 species
CCUACGGGAGGCAGCAGUAGGGAAUAUUGCUCAAUGGGGGAAACCCUGAAGCAGCAACGCCGCGUGGAGGAUGACGGUUCUCGGAUUGUAAACCCCCUUUUUUAGAGAAGAUAAUGACGGUACCUAACGAGUAAGCACCGGCUAACUCCGUGCCAGCAGCCGCGGUAAUACGGAGGGUGCAAGCGUUACUCGGAAGCACUGGGCGUAAAGAGCGCGUAGGCGGGAUAGCAAGUCAGAUGUGAAAUCCUAUGGCUUAACCAUAGAACUGCAUUUGAAACUGUUUUUCUAGAGUAUGGGAGAGGUAGGUGGAAUUCUUGGUGUAGGGGUAAAAUCCGUAGAGAUCAAGAGGAAUACUCAUUGCGAAGGCGACCUGCUAGAACAUAACUGACGCUGAUGCGCGAAAGCGUGGGGAGCGAACAGGAUUAGAUACCCUUGUAGUC